CUAUUACAGACACUGUGCCGGCUGUAUAUAAUUAAUGCUGGCCAAGGAUUCAAGAUGUUAUGGAGCACAAUAAAAUCAUUCCUCGAUCCAAAAACUGCUUCCAAGAUCCAUGUUCUUGGGAAUAAGUAGCAACAUAAGUUGCUCGAAAUAAUUGACGAGUGUGAACUGCCAGAAUUUCUUGGUGGCAAAUGCAAUUGUAUUGAAGGUUGCCAAAGAUCUGACAAAGGUCCUUGGAAGGAUCCCAACAUAAUAAAGAGAGUCCUCAAUGACGAGGCAAACUACGACAGACAAAUUGUGACCAUAUCCAGCAUUGAUGGAAAAAUAAUACGUUAUGCUAGGCCAGAUCACCCAACUAGAAAAGGGAGUGAUGCAUCUACCGAGUCUGGAUCUGAAGUGGAAGAUGUAACAUCUCCUACUGCAUCAAGGAACCUGAUUACACAUCCUAUUUUGACCCCUGUUCACGAGGAGGCAAGUGGCUAAGCCUGUACAGUUUAGUGUAUGAACAAAAAACUGACACUACUGGCAUAGUCUAGACAUUAUUCAUGAAGGGUCACUAAAUUGUAACUGUUCUGUAAACAUUCAUUGAACAAGAAAUGGUACCACACCCCCUUUAUUUUCCUGUUGCUUUUGGUAAUAUGGGUUCUAACCAGUCCACUUUCCAAACAAGUUGGAGUGUAACUUGGUCUAUACUCUUUUUGAAAUGCUAUAUUGGGCCUUCCAAUCGAUCAACAUAUCAGUUGCAGGUUUUAAUUCUGCCUUUUCCCUAAAUUUUGCUUAAGAUAAAAGAAUACCGAUGACAUGACUUAGAAAAUAUAGUUGAGUAGCAUAUCCAGAUGUCACUGAAUUACCAGAUCAUACAAUUCAUUUCUUUCCUUCCUGUGCUUUUCCUUUUCUCAUUUUUUUCAAUUUUAUAGGAAUACUUAUCACACUUAAUGCGCGCCAGCCUUGCAUGGUCUCAUUCUCAUUGAUGGAUACUUAUCACAAUAAGCCUUAGAUGCAACAACUAUUGUUAGUCCUAUCUUUUGCUGUCAAGAUGGACUCAUUAUCAAUUUUGAAAUGUCAUGUAACAGUUGGGACUCAUGACUCAUCCAUUGAUGUGUUGCACUAAAAAAGAUGGGGAUGGCGUUCACCGGCCCAGAGAUUAAGAUGACACAAGCUUGGCACAAAUGAUGGGUCGUGAACCAGGAGAUAAUUUCCAAGACUUGAUAAAGGAGUAUGGCGUGUACUGAAGGGUCCAUUCAACUACACGACUCGUGAUGAAGCUGGUAUACCCUGAGAAUGGUAACUUCUGACCAGCAUGGCAUAAGUCUGUAAGCAUUCACAUCUUUAUGAGGUUAAUUUUUAUAUUAUAUCAUGUACGACAAGAAGUUCAAACAAGAAGCAGCACAAAAACUUUCAGAUGUGAGAGACUGUCAUAGUUUUUUAUGAUAAUGUUUUGCUAUGGAGCUAAACUGGCAAUAUGUUCUUGACGGGUCCAUGAUAGAUUAGCUUGUAUUGUUGAGAUGGAGAAAAAGAAUGCAAGUUUGGGUAGGCGCUCUACUAAUUAUUUACCAUAUUUAAACCAGUCUUCUUAACCCUGAAAACUAUAAAAUAUCUCAUUAGCCAUACUUGCCAUUCAUAUAAUCAUAUCCUUUUCAGUUACAUGUGUUAAAUUUGAGGGACUAUUUGUACUUCCAUAUAAGUAUAUUUGUUAUCUAUUUGUCUGCCCACCCAGAUGUUCUUAGUUUGGAUUGCAUGUUGCUGUUGGCAACUUUGGAAGCUGAGCUCAUGUGACUUGUGCGAAAUCGCUAGAAAAUAUGUCUACCAAUCCAGUUUCUCUCAUAGGCUCAAGGUAUGGGUCGUUUGGUGUGGGUCAUGGAUGAAUUCUCUAUCUCUAUGUGUGUGUGUGUGUCUUUUUUGUUUUGCUGAGCAUCUAACACUGGUCGUUUUACUGGAUUGGGAGAAACUACUAUAGAAGGGGUCUGGAGAGCAAUAACAUCCACUAGACAAAUGUUCCCCACAUCAGAUCUGGAAAGAACAAAUGGAGCUGAUACAUUUUGGAAAUGUUAAAGUAGUCGAAGAAGAAAUUGACAGGUGAAGUGUAGGGGAAUUGUCAUGGUGUGGCAGUAGAGGUCUAGAAGUGGCGGUAAGAGAGAUUGAUACUAAUGAUUUGUUUAUUGUAGACUACUUGCAUUAGCUUUUUUUCUACGGGUCAAUUAUGUUAUGUUUUAUUUGUGUACAUGUUUGAGAUAUGCUACCAAAUAGCUCUAGCAAUAAAAAAACUACCUACAUUUUGGUU